GACGAACGCUGGCGGCGUGCUUAACACAUGCAAGUCGAACGGAAAGGCCCUGCUUGCCGGGUGCUCGAGUGGCGAACGGGUGAGUAACACGUGGGUGAUCUGCCCCUUACUUUGGGAUAAGCCUGGGAAACUGGGUCUAAUACUGGAUAGGACCAUGCUGUAGGUGGUGUGGUGGAAAGAUUAGUUUCGGUAAGGGAUGAGCUCGCGGCCUAUCAGCUUGUUGGUGGGGUAAUGGCCUACCAAGGCGUCGACGGGCAGCCGGCCUGAGAGGGUGGACGGCCACAUUGGGACUGAGAUACGGCGCAGAAUCCUACGGGAGGCAGCAGUGGGGAAUAUUGCACAAUGGGCGCAAGCCUGAUGCAGCGACGCCGCGUGGGGGAUGACGGCCUUCGGGUUGUAAACUCCUUUCAGCCAUGACGAAGCCCUUGUGGUGACGGUAGUGGUAGAAGAAGCACCGGCUAACUACGUG
rnacentral:rRNA from 1 species